rnacentral:rRNA from 1 species
AUGGGCGGAAGCCUGAUGCAGCAACGCCGCGUGCGGGAUGACGGCCUUCGGGUUGUAAACCGCUUUCACCCAUGACGAAGCGCGAGUGACGGUAGUGGGGGAAGAAGCACCGGCCAACUACGUGCCAGCAGCCGCGGUGAUACGUAGGGUGCGAGCGUUGUCCGGAAUUAUUGGGCGUAAAGAGCUUGUAGGCGGUUGAUCGCGUCGAUAGUGAAAUCCCGGGGCUCAACCUCGGGCUUGCUGUCGAUACGGGUUGACUUGAGGAAGGUAGGGGAGAAUGGAACUCCCGGUGGAGCGGUGGAAUGCGCAGAUAUCGGGAAGAACACCGGUGGCGAAGGCGGUUCUCUGGACCUUUCCUGACGCUGAGAAGCGAAAGCGUGGGGAGCAAACAGGCUUAGAUACCCUGGUAGUCCACGCUGUAAACGGUGGGUACUAGGUGUGGGUCGCAUUCCACGUGAUCCGUGCCGUAGCCAACGCAUUAAGUACCCCGCCUGGGGAGUACGGCCGCAAGGCUAAAACUCAAAGGAAUUGACGGGGCCCCGCACAAGCGGCGGAGCAUGC